UACGUAGGUGACAAGCGUUAUCCGGAUUUAUUGGGCGUAAAGGGAACGCAGGCGGUCUUUUAAGUCUGAUGUGAAAGCCUUCGGCUUAACCGGAGUAGUGCAUUGGAAACUGGGAGACUUGAGUGCAGAAGAGGAGAGUGGAACUCCAUGUGUAGCGGUGAAAUGCGUAGAUAUAUGGAAGAACACCAGUGGCGAAAGCGGCUCUCUGGUCUGUAACUGACGCUGAGGUUCGAAAGCGUGGGUAGCAAACAGG
rnacentral:rRNA from 1 species